AAGUCAUUAGUAAAAAAAUUACAUCACCUUGUCAAGGUGAAAUUGCAAGUUAGACUCGUGCAUGCCUUA
rnacentral:tRNA from 1 species